rnacentral:lncRNA from 1 species
CCAGGACUUCUCCACCUCAGCACUAAUGACACAUAGGGGCAGAUGAUUCUCGGGAGCGGGGCGUGAGGCUGUCCUGUACAUUGUAGGAUGUUGAGCAGCAUCCCCGGCCUCUACCUAUUAGAUGGCGAUAGCAUCCCCCGUCUCAAAUUAUGUAAGGCAAAAAGAUUUUCAAAUGUCCCCUGGGGACAAAAUCAACCCGAGUUAAGAGCCACUGACUGAGACCGGCAGCUCUCUCUCCUCACCCACCAGUUCCCAUGUUCCAUGCUUUUCCUGGGUAAUGAACCCCCGUCAGGGCCCAGGAGCUGACUGCAGCAGCUGCUUCAUGUACAUCUCACUGCAUCCUCCCACCAACGCUGUGAUGUGGAGGUGAAGAAGAUCUCCAUUUUACAGGAGAAGAAACGAAGACCUGGAAAGCACUGAUGACUUCAGGUUGCAGCCAGCCAUCAGGGAGCCAGCAAUAGAUGCAAGGAUUGGAGGACUCUGAGGCUAAUAUGGAGUAGAAUGCUCAGUAAAUGCCAGCUGCAGUGGGGUGGCCAUCCCAGGGGAUGAUGCCCCAGUGCCCAGGUCCUCUGUGCAAGUUCAUCCCAAGCUGUGCCAUCCCUUCCAAAUCCUUCACAAGCCAGAUGCAGGAGCGAAUCUUGUCACUGAGUUGCAGUCAUGGCCUAAGGGUGUUUCAGGAUAAACAGAAGAAGCAGAGGACAGCUGAUCUGGAUGUGUUGCCUCCCCCACUAACAUUAUUGUUACCCUCUUGGAAUUAGAGACCAUGCCAGCCUGUAUCUCCUCCUUCCUCUCUGUCCUGUGCAGAGCUGAGUGUGUCCUCAAUGUUUACAUAAAAUGCCAUAAAUCAUGGAAUCUUUAAGCACAAGAGACCUCAGAGGCCAACUCCAAGCCACAAACAAGGAACCCUGAAUCGAAAGGGAAUCUAAAGCUUCAGGCAAAGAGAGAGGAGAUUGGAUGGUGUGUCAAGCACAGUGCUACCCCCUUUAUAGGCAUGGCAUUGAGGUAGGACAUGGGACUUGACUCUGGAGGCAGGGCUCAGGUACGGGACCAAACUGAAGACUAGCUAAAAUAGGGACAGGGUGAAAACACCUUUCCAUAGGAAAUGCCUGUCAGUGUGCCAUGUCAGUUUAUCAUUGCCAUGGCAACACCUGGAAGUUACUGCCCCUUUCCAUGGCAACAACCCGAUGACUGGAAAGUUUCCAACCCUUUUCUAGAAAUUUCUGCAUAAUGCACCCUUUAAUUUGCAUAUAAUUAAAAGUGGGUAUAAAUAUGACUGCAGGACUGCCUCUGAGCUGCUACUCUGGGCACAUUGCCUAUGGGGUAGCCCUGCUCUGCAAGAAGAAGUACCUCUGCUGCUGUGGUACACUGCCACUUCAAGAAAAGUUGCUAACACCACUGGCUAGCCCUUGAAGCCCUUGAAUUAUUUCCUAGGCAAAGCCAAGAACUCUCGCAAGCUAAACCCCAAUUUGGGGGGCUCACCUGCCCUGCAUCAGCGUAAUUUAAUACUCACAGCUACCCUCCAAAGCCAGCAUCAUGAUACCCACCUGAGAGGUCAGAAAACCGAGACACGGAGUGAUGGCGGCUGACUCAGUUCCCCUAGCUGGGACUCACAGCUGGAUGCAAGCUGCCUAACCUGAGGCUUCAGGCUCUAUCCACAGUCUGCAGGCAUACUGACUGGCCUCUGUUUAUGCAUCUGUGAAAUGGGGAUGAUGAGGGCAAGUAUUCAUACUAUGCCCCACCCAGCAGGCUUCAGGCAAUGAGGAACUAUAAGCAUGGAUGUGAAUGUGUUCUGGACAUGGAAUGGAUGAUACAAAGAGAAUGGAUACUCAGGUGCCCAGAGAGCCCUGGCUUUGUUCCUGGAAGUGGUCAGAUAAAAAAACCAAAAAAAAAAAAACAGUUUGGAUGUGGAGUCAGGAAGAACUAGGUUCAAAUAUUACCUUUUCCACUUAAUCAGUGCCUGACCUUUGGCAGGUAACUCUACCAACCCUUCCACCCGCCUUUUGUAAAUAUUCACAGAGUGAGGGUCAUGUGCAAGAUACAGAAGUCAGUCUGGAUUCAAAUAGGCUCUGCUGGGGUGACAUGUAGGAAUCUGCACAAGUGAUUUGUCAUCGUCACCAUCAUCAUCACUGAGGCACAGCACACAUAUAAUACAAUGCAUAAAUCUAAAAGCAAAACCUGAAGAAUUUCUGCAUGUGCAUAGUGUUGUAGACUAAAUUGUGUCCUCCCACCCCCUGAAAAGUUAUCUAUUGAAGUCCUGACCUUCAUAACUUGGGAAAAUGGCUGUAUUUGAAGACAAGAUCUUUAAAGAAGUAAAGUAAAAUGAGGCCAUUAGGGUGGGCCCUAAUCCAUUUUACUGAUGUCAUGCACGGAUGCAUGUGUACAGAGGAAAGGCCAUGUGAGGACACGGCGAGAAGACGGCCACCUGCAAGCCAAGGAGAGAGAUCUCAAGAGAGACCAAACCUGCUGGCCCCUGAUCUUACACUUCCAGCUUCCAGAAUUGUAAGAAAGUAAACUUCGGUUGUCCAACCUACCCAGUCUGUGGUAUUUUGUUAUGGUAGCCUGGUCAGACUAAUACACAUAACCUUGUGUAACCAGCACUACGAUUAGGAGCAGAAUAUUUCCAAUAACCCAGCAGCCCCUGCCAUCAUGACCUUCUCAAUCUUGCCCUCUACCCCCAGAAGUAAUCAUUGCUCUGAUCCCUGUUAUCAUCAACUAGUUCUGUCCAUUUCUGAACUUCAUAUAGGUGGAACCAUACAAUAUGUUUCCUUUGUGCCUGGCUUCUUUGACUCAGCAUUCCAUUUCUGAAAUGCAUCUUUCCUAUUGGGUGCAGCCGUCAUUCAUUCUUUUUCUUUGCUGUAUAAUAUUCCACCGUGUGACUUCAUCACAGUUUGUUUAUCCA